CCCCAGCAUCCCUCUUCCAGGAGGGGGAGGAGGGGCAUGGCUGAGUUUGGGGGGUGGUGGUCUGAGGGUGCAUUUCAGAAGCACAAAGGGGGCUAGAAGGACUGGCGACUUCUCCACAUCCCAUCACAAUAACCAAGAAAAUGGCUUACCUGGAAGACAACAGCUAUUAAAAGUUUCACUCAGAAGAAGAAAGAAAUGGACAUCUGCAAUGUUCCAGGUUUCCUAGAUGGAGAAUCUAACGCUAUGAGAGAGGCUCAGCCUCUUUCCUUAGCCACACAUGCUUGGCCCCAGGAGCAGGCACUCCUAAUAUGACCUAUUAGUAACUGCGAAAGUGUCCCCUGUCCCUGCUCCAAGGCCCAAAGAAAUCCACCAACUGUCAUAGCUGCCUCAGUAGCCACAAGAAUGAAAUUGGGAGACCACGUACUGAGCAUGACCUUACACUUCUAAAAAGAGAAAAAAAGCAACAGGAAGAAAUGCAAGUAAAAUUCUGGUAGGCCUCUGGCACUGCUUAUAAGCAGUGCCCAGGAAGGAGACCCUGGGAAUACCUAAGGCAGUCACUACGCCUGGAUGUUGUCGGGCUCAUCCUGGGGAGGGCAACUCCAGCAAAGGGAGCCCCUCCUCCUGGAAAUUUUGCACGGCUCUCUGGGCCCAUGCUCCCUUGGUCUCUCUGUGUCAGCUCACAGUUGGCUUGUUUCUCUCUUUCCAGACAGAGCUAAAGGUGCUAACUCUGCUGUUCCGAAAGGCUUUGGGGGCACUGCUUAUCACAACCGGAUUGAUCAUUGCCAGACUUUAUUAAAUACUCUCACUUCUGACCUUGACCAGCAAUACUGCCCACAGAUCUCACAAUGCCAGAUUCCAAGGUUCCAAAGAUGGGAGCCACUGAACCAAAGUGUUGAGAGUCUCCUGGGGAGUUUUUGCUUGCAAACAGAAUCAGAAUCUCCUGGGCAGGAGAAAAGUGAGGAGAGAGCAUGGGGACAAAAAACAAGUGUCCCCCCCAACCCUCCUCAGCAUCUUCUUGGAACACCUAACUUCUUGUCCCAGUUUCCUUUUCUUCAACACAUAAUCAGCAAUAGGACAGGAGCCAUUCAUAUAUAUUUAAGAACAGUUACCUCUGACUGUCUCUCAGAAGCCGCUUUCCUCUCUCAACACUCCUCCCUCCCAGAGGAGCUGGAAAAGUUGCCUAGGUUAUAUGAUCUUCAUGCUUUCAGAAGCUUUGGUGUGAGUCAGCCCGGUUGCAGAUCUCUCUUCAAAAAUUUUGAGCUGCAAAAGAAAGGCAAGUUCCAUCCCCAAGGACAGUGGCCAUGCAAAUACCUCAGGUCACGAUCACUUGGUUUUGUUCAAUCACAGAGUUUCAAAACUGCCGAAACCCUCAGAGUUUCUCUUGUCUGUCAUUUUAUAAGAGGUAAACUGAGGCACUGAGUGGUGAAGUAACGUGGCUUUUACAGAGGAAACUGGCCCUGCCUCCGGCCCCAGGGCUCUCCACCGAACCCCUUCAUGACUGUCCUGGCAACCUUCGUCUUUCUUUUUAUUGAGUGCAUGAGUGCAGCGUCAGAGCAAGAAGGCUUUAAAGCGUUCCAGCAUGACUUGAUGCUCUUGUCACCCUUUCCUGCUUGUUGUUUUUGUAUUCAGUUACAAAUCUGGCUCUGACCCUUGUUGAAAGGGGUCACUGAAAGUGGUAAGGAAAGAGAGAGAGAAAUAAGCUUGGUCGUGACCCAAUCAGUCCAUGGUUACUAAGUUUCUUGGGAAUGGAGCCCUUUUCAUGAGGUCGAAAAGUGGACUGGAGGGAAAGCAGGAGCCAUGGAGAAAAGAUCCAGGGAAGGGCGAGACACCUGGCAAAUCCCCUCGUUCUGGGGUUACAGAAGAUCCAGUGGCCCGUGUUGGGCCCGAAGACUAAGCAAAGCACGGUAGGAAAGCAACAUCCACAGAAAACAUUGGUUGCUACAGAAUUCUGAUAAAGAUUUGAUUCCAUCACUGGCUAAAAGAGGCGGGAAGAAAGAAGAUAACUUUUAAGACAGUUGUUAGGAAUGUCUUUAAAAAAUAAUUUUUCUUAAAUUUUAGAACUUACUAAAAAUGAGACUUCUUAUCCCAGACCCCCACCUCCAG